rnacentral:rRNA from 1 species
CACGUAGGGGGCGAGCGUUUGUCCGGAUUUAUUGGGCGUAAAGAGCUCGUAGGCGGCUCGGUAAGUCAGGUGUGAAAACUCUAGGCUCAACCUAGAGACGCCACCUGAUACUGCUGUGGCUAGAGUCCGGUAGGGGAGCAUGGAAUUCCUGGUGUAGCGGUGAAAUGCGCAGAUAUCAGGAGGAACACCAGUGGCGAAGGCGGUGCUCUGGGCCGGAACUGACGCUGGAGGAGCGAAAGCGUGGGGAGCAAACAGG